UUGAAAGUUGUGGGGUGAUGUUUUUGGGUUUGAGUUUUCUUUUGGUUUGUUUGGGUUUGUGGAGUGGGUUGUAGGUGUUUUGGGCGUUUUAGAGCUACGCUUAAAUAUACUUGUAAUUUUAAAUUUCGUGUUAGAGAGGCGGUUUUCAAAAUGGGUUAAAUAAUUUUUUUUUUUUUGAACGGAAAUGAGUAAAAAGAAAAAAAAAUUGAGUUAUUUAAAAAAAAUGGGUUGUAGGUGUUUUUUUUUUUGUUUUGUUUUUUGUGUGAAGGGAAAUGAGUUAAUUUUUUUUUCUGAUGCUAAAAAUUACAAACAUGUAUAUACAAGUACAAUUAUGUUCAAUUUACCCAUUUAUAAUAGGUGGGUAGUUAUUUAAAUUGAGAAUUCAGCCAUGUUGAUCUUACAAUUAUGUUCAAUUUUUUGUAUUGGUCCAUGUGCUUUCUUGAAUUAAUUUCAGUUGUUUAGCAAGUCCAAUCUCUGAUAUUCUUUCUACGUCAUUCUCCUUCGCUUCUCCCUCGCCCUCCUCCCUGUACAUUACAAUUACUAUAUUUGCUGUUGUAGAUUCUCACAAGUUUCAACUAUUUCCAGAAAUAAAUAAACAGUUGUAUAAGCGUUGAUUUCUUCUUCACCAAUCUUACCAUUAUUUCAGAUCUGUUUCGAGGUAGUUCAGUACAAUGCAGGACAUUUAGAUUGGUCCCACUAUUUUAAUUUAAUCGAUUUGGGGUUUCUUCAUCUCCAUAGCUGCAUUUUGGCUGAGAAACUAAGGUGGGUCGGUGACAGAAAAGUAUAUGAUAUGGCAGUUUCAAAGCAAACUGUUAUGGCUAUCAAGUCUUACCAAAAUCAGGCUGAAAAUCUGGUGAAGAAUCAUUUGCUGUCUGAUUCUGUAAUACCUUACACUUCAAUUAUUGCUGGGAUAUUAGUCUGCAAAGUGAUCUAUAAUCUUACACAGUUGUUUAGUGCCCUGUACUUCAAGAGUUAUGCUGGCCUUAACAGAGUACAAAGGAUUGAAUGGAACAAUCGUGGCAUCUCGACGGUUCAUGCCCUUUUCAUUGCAGCUAUGUCUUUAUAUUUUGUUUUCUGGUCAGACCUAUAUGCUGACUUUCAAACGAACGGUUUUGUUACAUUCCGUAGCUCAACACUUUCAACUUUCACUCUAGGAGUAUCUGUGGGGUACUUUAUUGCAGACCUUGCAAUGAUCAUGUGGCUUUAUCCUUCUUUGGGUGGAAUAGAGUAUGUGAUACAUCAUUCUCUGUCCGGAAUCGCUGUUGCUUAUGCUAUGUUCUCUGGGGAAGGACAACUUUAUACCUUCAUGGUCCUCAUUUCUGAGGUUACUACACCUGAAAUCAAUAUGCGAUGGUUUCUUGAUACAGCUGGAUUGAAGAGAUCUCAUGCAUAUCUUAUUAAUGGAAUCGUGAUUUUUUUCGCCUGGUUGGUUGCAAGAAUUCUGCUGUUUGUCUAUAUGUUCUAUCAUGUUUACUUGCACUACCAUCAGGUUAUCCAAAUGCAUGUAUUUGGCUUCUUUUUGGUCUUUGUUGUGCCAGCAGUGCUUGCUGCAAUGAACUUGAUGUGGUUCGGGAAGAUACUCAGAGGAUUGAAGAAGACCCUAGCUAAGAGGCAAUGACAGAUUUCUAUUGCUAUUGCAUCACAUUUUUCAUAGGAUCGUUUUUCUUCGGUGUAAAAAUGGUGGGGUUGAAAUUGCGAAGGUAAAGGAACCCUUUGAGUGACGUGACUUACGAUAGGAUUUGUUGUAAAUAGCUGAACCUUGACGCCACAAGCACUAUAUUGUUGCGGCAGACAAUGAAAAGUUUUCCUGCUCUUCCUAUCGAUGGAAGGCUGCAACCCUUUUGUGAGAAAGGAAAGAGAGGGCCGAGGUGGGUCCAUGUACGUGCUAAUAGAGUUCAUUUUCCUUUCUCACAAGUGCUGCAUAGCUUGGUGUUGUGCCUCACAGAUUUUCCAAAUUCCAUCGCUAAUAUUCUCAUUUGCACGGGCCAUCGUAAAAGGCAAGACACUUGUGCUAAUUAUUAGCAUUAGUCUCUAAAACUAAAAUUAUUAUGUAUAAUUACAAAAAAGUACCUGGAUAUUAGGAUAAUGUGACUAAAACAAAGGAACUUUUUUUUUUCGUUAGAUAGCACUUUUACCGUCUUUUAUUUUGUAUUAUAGUACCUCUUAUUUCGCUUUUUACAAAAUCACUUCUAAGAAUGUUUUUUUUACCACACUUUUUGACCAUAUUUCAAAUUGUCAAUUUUUCGGCAUUUAAAGAAGAUAUGAAGAGGAUACUCAAACGUAGGAAGAGAGCAACUAAGUGAGAAAAAGAAGAAAAAAGAAAACAAAAAGGAGUAUGUUUCAUUGUUAAAAAGGAGAGAGAAAAAAGGUCAAAUGCUUGAAAGUUGACAAUUUGGCUACAGUUUGGCCAAAAGCUUUUUUUAUAUUAGAAAAACACAUUCUUAAAAGUGCUAUUUCGCAAAAAUCAGCAUGAAAGAUUCUAUUUUACAAAAUUAAAGGCAUAAAAUAUGCUAUUUGACAAUUAAAAAAAAUCUGAAAUUAAAAAUAAAUAUAAAAAUUAGGAUCCUCUAAAAUGAGAGGUCAUAUACUA